rnacentral:rRNA from 1 species
AACUGCUUAGACAGCUAGGAUGUUGGCUUGGAAGCAGCCAUUCAUUUAAAGAGUGCGUAACAGCUCACUAGUCGAGCGGUUUUGCAUGGAUAAUAAUCGGGCAUAAACAUAUUACCGAAGCUAUGGACUUAUUAAAGUGGUAGGGGAGCAUUCUAUUUGCGCAGAAGGUGUACUGUGAGGUAUGCUGGAGCGAAUAGAAAAGAAAAUGUAGGCAUAAGUAACGAUAAAGGGGGCGAGAAACCCCCUCACCGAAAGACUAAGGUUUCCUCAGCGAUGCUAAUCAGCUGAGGGUUAGUCGGGACCUAAGGCGAAUCCGAAGGGAGUA